CCCAUUAGGCUAGUUAUUUCUCUAGGGUUAGAUAAAAAAGAGAAGAAAGAAAGAAAAGAGCCAUUUUGGCUCUUGGUGUCGUCGGCUAGGAGGGAGAGAGAGAGAAGAGGCAGUGUGUGGAGCUAGAGAGAGAAGGAGAGAAAAGAAGGAAGAAAGAGAGAAAGAGAGAGAGAGAGAGAUCAAGGAAGAAGAAGUAAGAAGAAAGUUUGGCUCAAAUGUUGUAGGUGACAAGAAAAAGGGAGAAUAAACUUUGUGAGUUGAUUGCUAUCUAAGAAGGUAAAGGCAAGGGCAAACUUGAUCAACCUUGAUUUGGAGAGCUCUACGAGCGGAAUGUACAUGGCUAGCUGCUCAGCCGACACGGUUGAGGUUUAGGCAGGGACGCGAGACCGAGAAAUUAUUCAUUUUGCCUUAGUAUGGCUGACAGUUGUCUGUAUUUUUGGGAGUCUGUAAUCCAACUUUUAAACUCUGUUUCUUUUGGGAUCCCAUGUAUAUAACUGCUUAAUUAUAUGAAAUGAAACUUUUGAGACCAAAACCUUUUUAACCCUAGCUUGUACAUGUUUAGUGACACGUUUUUAUAUUAAUGACCUGAUUAGCAAGUCUUGCACAUUUAUAAGUACACAGUGUAGCGGUCUUGGCUAACCAGGGCGUUACAACUUGGUAUCAGAGCAUCCUAGGUUUAAGGGUUCCUAAAGACAGC